rnacentral:tRNA from 1 species
GGUUUAAUAGUCAAUUAUGAUAUUGGAUUGCAAAUCUAAAGGUGAAUGAUUUCUUAAGCUU